GACCAAAAUCUCAUGAUGACAGCGGGAAGAGUCCUUCGGGGAAACCAGACCCGGCGACACCCAAACCAACGAGACGACAUCAGUGCUCCCACUGUGGAAAGAGUUUUCCCUGGUUAAAGGCCCUGAAGCAGCAUAAGAAAAAACACUCUGGAGAGAAGCCUUAUCGCUGUUCUCAAUGUGGAAUGACUUUUACCUGGGCAGGAAGCCUAUGGGGGCAUAAGAGAAUACACUCUGGAGAGAAGCCUUACCACUGCUCCCACUGUGAAAAGAGUUUUAGGAAGUUAGGUGACCUGAAGGCGCAUGAGAGGACACACACGGGAGAAAAGCCCUACCAAUGCUCCCAGUGUGGAAAUAGUUUUAGCAAGCUAGGGAACCUAAAACAGCAUAAAAGAACACACACAGGAGAAAAGCCCUACCAAUGCUCCCAGUGUGGAAAGAGUUUUAGCCAUUCAGGGAGCCUUAAAGACCACGAGAGGAGACACAGACAAGAAAAACCUUACCAAUGCUCCCUGUGUGGAAAGAGUUUUAUCAAGUUAGGGGCCCUGAAUCGGCAUGAGAGGACACACACUGGAGGGGAUAAAACGUACCACUGCUCCCUGUGUGAAAAGAGUUUUAACCGAUUAAGACAUCUGAAUAAGCAUGAAAUAAUACAUACACAGGAGGAGAAGACAUACCACUGCUCUCAGUGUGGAAAGACAUUUUCCCAGUCAGAGGACCUGAAAUCACAUGAGAGAAUAGAGAGGCUGUGUUCUGACUUGUGCUUUUAACUGAGAAUUGGUGUUUUUGUUUCAUGCCACAUUAAAUCAUAUUGUUUAUGAUUUAACCUGUCUAUAUGAUACAUAGCUGUACUAUAACACACACAGGAGAGAAAACCUUCCACUGUUCUCAUUUUGCUUUUGACUGAGAAUUAGUGUUUUUUUGUUUUUUAUAACCCACUGAUGGGUUUAGAUUUUUAAAUUUUAAAUAUUGUUAAUCAUCCGUUUUACGAGAGACAUAAGGGGGGCCAUAGUCUGGUUUCGACAACAGAAGUUAAUGGUUAUGAGGAAUGUAUAUGUGGUGGGUUCAGUUAGGUGGAGAGAUGUGGAUUAGUGAGGAAGGGAGCCGAGGUCAGGUCACAUGCUGGUGGAGAGAUGUGGGUUAGUGAGGAAGGGAGCCGAGGUCAGGUCACAUGCUGGUGGAGAGAUGUGGGUUAGUGAGGAAGGGAGCCGAGGUCAGGUCACAUGCUGGUGGAGAGAUGUGGGUUAGUGAGGAAGGGAGCCGAGGUCAGGUCACAUGCUGGUGGAGAGAUGUGGGUUAGUGAGGAAGGGAGCCGAGGUCAGGUCACAUGCUGGUGGAGAGAUGUGGGUUAGUGAGGAAGGGAGCCGAGGUCAGGUCACAUGCUGGUGGAGAGAUGUGGGUUAGUGAGGAAGGGAGCCGAGGUCACAUGAAGGGAGAAGGAACAGUUUAUCGCCCGCGUCACUUAACUUCCUGCCUAGCAACAAAGAUGUCAUGUCUAAAGAGAGAAGGACGAGACUCCACCCAGAUUGGGGUGUAUUUAUAUAUAUACACAUAUACAUAUAUAUACACUACCACUGGUGGAAGUAUGUCUGUUCAGCUGUUCGAUCCUUUGGGUGAUUAAAGUUGGUUGGCACUUUU